rnacentral:lncRNA from 1 species
AGUUCUUGAGGCAGCUAUUAUCGAAAAUAAUGGAUUUGGCACUUGUGAUGAUUCCUGAGGCUGAAUCUGGACUCAGCAAGAAAGAGUGCCAUGAUUGAUUAGCCAUGUCUGCCAUUAGCUCAAAACUAGGGACAGAUCCUGCCAGAUACUUGCUGACAACAGCUUAGAAGUUUCCCUUGGCCAUACAAACCUUCUUAAAGGACUGACUGUUAGCAGUAAUGGAAAAUUCAGAUGGAUUACUGAUGCCACCCCUGGAGAGGUUCCUGAAUUCUGCUCAACACAAAAUCACCAUGAUUGGUAAACACUUUAAUAAGCUCACUGAAGCUUAAUGACUUCAAUUGUUCCCAUCAUUGCAUAUGUCCCUAACAGCACUCUAAUUUCAUACCUUUUACAAUUGUAACAAAAAUAAUUAUUGUCAGUUUCAAGAUUGUGAGCUCUGCUGGGAGCAAAAACUCUGAGCAGACUAAGACCAAUCUACCUGCCUGCCAAUAUUUUGAAAGACUUAAAACUCUUCUCUAUAAAUUAG